AAAAGACUAGUUUAAAAAAUAUGAAGUUUCGACCUUCAAGUUCUUAGAAUAUUAAUCUAAGGUCUUUCA
rnacentral:tRNA from 1 species